rnacentral:lncRNA from 1 species
GAUUCGGGCUGACUUAGUAAUUAAAACUUUGUGUGCUUUUGAAAUUCUUGGCAUUUAUGCAUUUGAAAUUAGAUUUUAUAAAAUAAUAACUCUUUGAGUAGAGACAAACAGUUUGUGGGUAUCUGAGCCGGAAACCCUCACGAGACAAAACUCGUCCACUAGGGCCACCUAGGGGUUUAAAGCCUUAUUGCAUACGGUAAAUGCAAUCGCGAUUCCUGCGAAAGUGAGUUAGUUUUUAUUUUGCUCGAGGACUAGCAAAAUGUAGGUUGAGGGGUGUGAUAAGUGCAAAAUAAUUCAUAAAUUAAUAUCUUAUUUAUAGCACUUACCAUUAUUUUAAUUCACAUAUUUUGUAAAUUUAACUGAAAAUUGUAUUACCUUCAUGAUUGCAUUUUAAUAAAUUAUCCAAGGUAAUUCAAGUUUGAUUUGAUUAUUGAUUAAGCUUAAUGCAUGCAGGUCGAGUCGAGCUCAAUUAGGUAAAGCCUAAAUGGACACUAUCUCAUCCUCCAGAAUCGGCUCCAAGAACUCUUUUCCAAAGCCCAGUGCUUCCCAUUAAUUCCUGACUCUUCACACAUUCACCUAAAUUUUUUCCAUUCCAAUUCUCCUGUUUAACAUUAAAAAUAAUAUGAUCCAUUCGAUCAUUUGUCUCAUAGAUCUCAAAGCGUACCAUCUAUCAUCGCACGGA